GAUGAACGCUGGCGGCGUGCCUAAUACAUGCAAGUCGAGCGAACGGACGAGAAGCUUGCUUUUCUGAUGUUAGCGGCGGACGGGUGAGUAACACGUGGAUAACCUACCUAUAAGACUGGGAUAACUUCGGGAAACCGGAGCUAAUACCGGAUAAUAUUUUGAACCGCAUGGUUCAAAAGUGAAAGACGGUCUUGCUGUCACUUAUAGAUGGAUCCGCGCUGCAUUAGCUAGUUGGUAAGGUAACGGCUUACCAAGGCAACGAUGCAUAGCCGACCUGAGAGGGUGAUCGGCCACACUGGAACUGAGACACGGUCCAGACUCCUACGGGAGGCAGCAGUAGGGAAUCUUCCGCAAUGGGCGAAAGCCUGACGGAGCAACGCCGCGUGAGUGAUGAAGGUCUUCGGAUCGUAAAACUCUGUUAUUAGGGAAGAACAUAUGUGUAAGUAACUGUGCACAUCUUGACGGUACCUAAUCAGAAAGCCACGGCUAACUACGUGCCAGCAGCCGCGGUAAUACGUAGGUGGCAAGCGUUAUCCGGAAUUAUUGGGCGUAAAGCGCGCGUAGGCGGUUUUUUAAGUCUGAUGUGAAAGCCCACGGCUCAACCGUGGAGGGUCAUUGGAAACUGGAAAACUUGAGUGCAGAAGAGGAAAGUGGAAUUCCAUGUGUAGCGGUGAAAUGCGCAGAGAUGUGGAGGAACACCAGUGGCGAAGGCGACUUUCUGGUCUGUAACUGACGCUGAUGUGCGAAAGCGUGGGGAUCAAACAGGAUUAGAUACCCUGGUAGUCCACGCCGUAAACGAUGAGUGCUAAGUGUUAGGGGGUUUCCGCCCCUUAGUGCUGCAGCUAACGCAUUAAGCACUCCGCCUGGGGAGUACGACCGCAAGGUUGAAACCCAAAGGAAUUGACGGGGGCCCGCACAAGCGGUGGAGCAUGUGGUUUAAUUCGAAGCAACGCGAAGAACCUUACCAAAUCUUGACAUCCUUUGACAACUCUAGAGAUAGAGCCUUCCCCUUCGGGGGACAAAGUGACAGGUGGUGCAUGGUUGUCGUCAGCUCGUGUCGUGAGAUGUUGGGUUAAGUCCCGCAACGAGCGCAACCCUUAAGCUUAGUUGCCAUCAUUAAGUUGGGCACUCUAAGUUGACCGCCGGUGACAAACCGGAGGAAGGUGGGGAUGACGUCAAAUCAUCAUGCCCCUUAUGAUUUGGGCUACACACGUGCUACAAUGGACAAUACAAAGGGCAGCGAAACCGCGAGGUCAAGCAAAUCCCAUAAAGUUGUUCUCAGUUCGGAUUGUAGUCUGCAACUCGACUACAUGAAGCUGGAAUCGCUAGUAAUCGUAGAUCAGCAUGCUACGGUGAAUACGUUCCCGGGUCU
rnacentral:rRNA from 1 species